rnacentral:rRNA from 1 species
AGUGGGGAAUAUUGCACAAUGGGCGAAAGCCUGAUGCAGCAACGCCGCGUGAGCGAUGAAGGCCUUUGGGUCGUAAAGCUCUGUCCUUGGGGAAGAAAAAAAUGACGGUACCCAUGGAGGAAGCCCCGGCUAACUACGUGCCAGCAGCCGCGGUAAUACGUAGGGGGCAAGCGUUAUCCGGAAUUAUUGGGCGUAAAGAGUACGUAGGUGGUUCUUUAAGCGCAGGGUUUAAGGCAAUGGCUCAACCAUUGUUCGCCCUGUGAACUGGAGGACUUGAGUGCAGGAGAGGAAAGCGGAAUUCCUAGUGUAGCGGUGAAAUGCGUAGAUAUUAGGAGGAACACCAGUGGCGAAGGCGGCUUUCUGGACUGUAACUGACACUGAGGUACGAAAGCGUGGGGAGCAAACAGGAUUAGAUACCCUGGUAGUCCACGCCGUAAACGAUGAGCACUAGGUGUCGGGGUCGCAAGACUUCGGUGCCGCAGUUAACGCAUUAAGUGCUCCGCCUGGGGAGUACGUACGCAAGUAUG